rnacentral:snoRNA from 1 species
UUCCAGUGAUGAGUUACCAUGCUAAUACUGAGAGUGUGUUGCUGGUAGACUUAAUUGUCCCAGCCGCUCUGUGAGUACAACAAGUUCUCAUAAACCUGAGGAAU